GAUGAGAACGUAGCGAAAUGCGAUAAGUAAUGUGAAUUGCAGAAUUCAGUGAAUCAUCGAAUCUUUGAACGCACAUUGCGCCCCUUGGUAUUCCGAGGGGCAUGCCUGUUCGAGCGUCAUAUUAACCACUCCCGCUUGCGGGGUCUUGGGCUUCGCCUCCGGGCGGGCCUUAAAAUCAGUGGCGGUGCCGUCGGGCUCUACGCGUAGUAAAUUUUCUCGCGAUAGGGUCCCGGUGGAUGCUUGCCAACAACCCCCAACUUCUUAAGGUUGACCUCGGAUCAGGUAGGGAUACCCGCUGAACUUAAGCAUAUCAAAAGCGGAGGA
rnacentral:misc_RNA from 1 species